rnacentral:rRNA from 1 species
UACGUAGGCAGCGAGCGUUGUUCGGAUUUACUGGGCGUAAAGGGCGGGUAGGCGGCCACCGCAAGUCGACUGUGAAAUCUCCGGGCUUAACCCGGAAAGGUCAGCCGAUACUGCGGGGCUAGAGUGCAGAAGGGGCAACUGGAAUUCUCGGUGUAGCGGUGAAAUGCGUAGAUAUCGAGAGGAACACCUGCGGCGAAGGCGGGUUGCUGGGCUGACACUGACGCUGAACUGCGAAAGCUAGGGGAGCGAACGGG